AACGCUGGCGGUAGGCCUAACACAUGCAAGUCGAACGGCAGCACAGGAGAGCUUGCUCUCUGGGUGGCGAGUGGCGGACGGGUGAGGAAUACAUCGGAAUCUACUCUGUCGUGGGGGAUAACGUAGGGAAACUUACGCUAAUACCGCAUACGACCUACGGGUGAAAGCAGGGGACCUUCGGGCCUUGCGCGAUUGAAUGAGCCGAUGUCGGAUUAGCUAGUUGGCGGGGUAAAGGCCCACCAAGGCGACGAUCCGUAGCUGGUCUGAGAGGAUGAUCAGCCACACUGGAACUGAGACACGGUCCAGACUCCUACGGGAGGCAGCAGUGGGGAAUAUUGGACAAUGGGCGCAAGCCUGAUCCAGCCAUACCGCGUGGGUGAAGAAGGCCUUCGGGUUGUAAAGCCCUUUUGUUGGGAAAGAAAUCCAUCUGGCUAAUACCCGGGUGGGAUGACGGUACCCAAAGAAUAAGCACCGGCUAACUUCGUGCCAGCAGCCGCGGUAAUACGAAGGGUGCAAGCGUUACUCGGAAUUACUGGGCGUAAAGCGUGCGUAGGUGGUCGUUUAAAUCCGUUGUGAAAGCCCUGGGCUCAACCUGGGAACUGCAGUGGAUACUGGGCGACUAGAAGUGUGGUAGAGGGUAGCGGAAUUCCUGGUGUAGCAGUGAAAUGCG
rnacentral:rRNA from 1 species